CCUACGGGAGGCAGCAGUAGGGAAUUUUCGGCAAUGGACGCAAGUCUGACCGAGCAACGCCGCGUGAGUGAUGAAGUUCUUCGGAACGUAAAAUUCUUUUAUUUGGAAAAAACGUAUAGUGUAGGAAAUGACAUUAUAGUGAUGGUACCAAAUGAAUAAGCCCCGGCUAACUAUGUGCCAGCAGCCGCGGUAAU
rnacentral:rRNA from 1 species